rnacentral:tRNA from 1 species
GCGGAUGUAGCUCAGUUGGCAGAGUAGAGUCCUUCCAAGUCUAUGGUCGCGCGUUCGAAUCGCGUCAUCCGCU